AAUUAAUAUCUCCAAAUUAAAAAAAAAAAAACAUUUUAUUUUAAUUACAUUUUAGUCACGUGCUACAACGGUAAACAAAAAUUAUUGAAACAAAAUAUCAGGCAUUACAGAUUAAAAAUAAAACAGAUGUUUUGUAAGCGCGGGAAAAACAGAUUAACUCUUUGUCAGAAGGUAUUAUAAUUUAGGCUAAAGUAUAAAAAUGGCUAAUUUAUCUGAAUUUAUUGAUGACCCGAACUUUUUUCAUAUGGCUAAAACUACUAUAGAAACGGAAAUAUCAAAUAUGAAGAAGGUAGUUGACCAAAUAACACAAAUGCGAGUGCAAGCGUCCCUAAUAUUAUUGGAGAUGAUGACAACCAUUGAUGCUAAAACCUGGCAAGAUAUCUCAUCGUUGAUCGGGUUGACAAAGAUCGAUUUGACUGACGUAUUCAAUAAAAAAGAAAUUAAUGAUAUAU